CAGCAGCCGCGGUAAUGCGAAGGGUGCAAGCGUUGUCCGGAAUUAUUGGGCGUAAAGGGCUCGCAGGCGGUUUCUUAAGUCUGAUGUGAAAGCCCCCGGCUCAACCGGGGAGGGUCAUUGGAAACUGGGAAACUUGAGUGCAGAAGAGGAGAGUGGAAUACCACGUGUAGCGGUGAAAUGCGUAGAGAUGUGGAGGAACACCAGUGGCGAAGGCGACUCUCUGGUCUGUAACUGACGCUGAGGAGCGAAAGCGUGGGGAGCGAACAGGAUUAGAUACCCCGGUAGUCCCUGUCUCUUAUAC
rnacentral:rRNA from 1 species